GGUGUUGAUCUUGUGUGUAAAAUGACGAACAUUUCAAAUCUUUACCGUUUAUGCCAACCGUUCAUGUUGCAAACAUUUAAGUGCUCUUUCCCAAAACACUUCAGAUCUUGCCUCCGCUCCUCUACCUCCAGCUCAAUCCGUUUAACCCAGUGGAACUCCAACUAAAAAACUUCCUUUAGUGGAACUCUUGUGGGUAUCCUUGAAAAAUUAUUGCCAAAACACAUAGUUAUAGACCAAACGCCAAAAGGAGCAAAGCUUAGAAUUGCCUCACGGACUCAUCAACCUAACUCCCUCUGUUCAAAAUUGUUGAAUUGGUGUCCGAAGGACAGGUGGGGUCAGCAAAGAGUAGUAGGAAGGGCUGGGAUGAGCAACCAGAGAAAGGUUAGGGGAACAAAAGGAGAAAGGUUCUUCUAGGAGUAAGCCUGAUCUGCAAGUUAUUUUGCAAACUUAGAUCCAAGACUACAUCCAUGUUAUGGACUUAGCAGAUGGUCAUAUUGCUGCACUUAGGAAGCUUUUUACUACACAGAAUAUAGGUUGCGUUGCCUAUAAUCUUGGAAUCAGCUAUGGUACAUCUGUGCAUGAAAUGGUUACUGCUUUUGAGAAAGUUUCUAGAAAGGAAAUGUGUAAUUCUACAUUAUCACAGAAGUAUGGUGAAGAUUCAUUCUCUCAACUAGAAUUCGAUCUACAUGCUUAAAAUCUUAAAAUCUUUUCUUUUAUUGGACUUUGAUAUCCUUUUAGUAUGGCAUCCAAUAGCACAUUUAGUUUUAUGAUUAUAUUUGUUUGACAUUUUUAGAUAUUGUGUAUUUAUGAGGAUUUCUAAUUGCAUGAACUUGAAUUCAAAUUUUAGAUUUUAAAGC